rnacentral:rRNA from 1 species
UACGGAAGGUGCAAGCGUUAGUCGGAAUUAUUGGGCGUAAAGGGUGCGUAGGCGGAAAGGUACGUCGGACGUGAAAUUCUGGGGCUUAACCCCAGAGCUGCAUCCGAAACGGCCUUUCUCGAGGAAUGGCGGAGAAGAUGGAAUUCCAUGUGUAGCGGUGAAAUGCGUAGAUAUAUGGAAGAACACCUGUGGCGAAAGCGGUCUUCUAGCCUCCUCCUGACGCUGAGGCACGAAAGCAAGGGGAGCAAACAGG